rnacentral:pre_miRNA from 1 species
AACAACUUAACUUUUCAAUUUUUAGAUACAAUAUUUGACUUUUCGUCUUAUUAAAAAAGUUUUAUGAUUAAUAAUUUUAUUUUUAUUAGAUGAUAAAGCAUGAGUAGUAAUUUAUGUGUGACUAAUUUUUUUAAAAUUUCUUGAAAAUUUUUCAAAUAAGACAUAUGGUCAAACGCUCGAUACAAAGACCGAAAAGUUGAAUUUUUG